AAGGAAAGAGAAAAGCACACUGAGACUCAGAGGAGCUGCGGAAGUAAAGUGCAGAGGUAAAAUGUCCUUGUUGAAGCCCAAAGCAAGCCCGAGGCCGAUAAACUACUCUGCGGCACAUCUGAGUAUAGCUGACCCCUGAACACCUCAGGGGUUUGGUGUGUUGACUCCCCCCCACAGUCAAAAAUCUGCAUAUAAUUGAACUACUAAUAGCCUACUGUUGACCAGCCUUACUAAUAACUUAAAUAGCCGAUUAACACAUAUUUUAUAUGUUAUAUGUAUUAUUCACAGUAUUCUUAGAAUAAAGUAAGCUAGAGUAAAAUGAUACUAAGAAAAUUUUAAGGAAGGCAAAAUACAUUUAUAGCAUUCACUGAAAAAAAUCAUAUAUAAGUAGACCUGUACAGCUCAAACUCAUGUUGAUCAUGGGUCACUGCACUUAUCUUUCCACCAGUUGAUUUAUGUGCUCACCAAAACCAUGAUUGUCCACAAAAUAGUUCAUAUCUGUCAGGAUUGCUAAUGUCAAUACAUAAUAUAAUUAGAUGUUAUGAGGAAAGACAAAGUUCAAAAAUAGAAUGAUUAUUAAUACUUUCAACAAUUAAGAUUUUUUAAAAAAUGUAAGAACAAUAAAAAAAUAAAAUGCUUCAUAGAAACCUGUACAAAUGCUUUGGAACAAUUUGAGAAAGGUAAAUCAUUAAAAAAUCACUGUCAAAUUAGGGCAGUUAGUAACUAUAAAAGAUUUGGGGAAAAAUUGUAAAAUCUAGGAUUUAAAAACUCAGAUUGCUUUUCAAGUGUCUUAAAGUUUUUCUUCCACCAUAAAUGGAAAUUGUAGACAAUGUACAAUGGUUUUGUGCUUUAUGCAAGAAAGAUGAAGUGAACUCCAUUCAUUAAAGCCUUCCCCGAAGUGAAGGUCCUAGCCCUCAGUCAGAAUUCUGGCAAAUAAAUGCACGUCCAUAAGUUAAAAUAA